GACGAACGCUGGCGGCGUGCUUAACACAUGCAAGUCGAACGGAAAGGCCCUGCUUUUGUGGGGUGCUCGAGUGGCGAACGGGUGAGUAACACGUGAGUAACCUGCCCUUGACUUUGGGAUAACUUCAGGAAACUGGGGCUAAUAUCGGAUAGGAGCUCCUGCUGCAUGGUGGGGGUUGGAAAGUUUCGGCGGUUGGGGAUGGACUCGCGGCUUAUCAGCUUGUUGGUGGGGUAGUGGCUUACCAAGGCUUUGACGGGUAGCCGGCCCGAGAGGGUGACCGGCCACAUUGGGACUGAGAUACGGCCCAGACUCCUACGGGAGGCAGCAGUGGGGAAUAUUGCACAAUGGGCGGAAGCCUGAUGCAGCAACGCCGCGUGCGGGAUGACGGCCUUCGGGUUGUAAACCGCUUUCGCCUGUGACGAAGCGUGAGUGACGGUAAUGGGUAAAGAAGCACCGGCUAACUACGUG
rnacentral:rRNA from 1 species